AAUAAAGUGGCUGAUAAUAGGCGAUAAAUUGUAAAUUUAUUUAUAAAUAAAAAUUUCUUUAUUA
rnacentral:tRNA from 1 species